rnacentral:lncRNA from 1 species
AAUCCAUAGGGAAUUGAGAACUUACCUAUUUUCCUUAUCAAGACCAAGAGAAUUAACUGAAACAAAAAUAAACUGAAAGAGAAAUAAACUGAAAGGAGAUAAACGGAAAGCAAAACAAACUGAAAGCGAAAUAAACUGAAAGAGAAAUAAACGGAAAGCAAAAUAAACUGAAAGCGAAAUAAACUGAAAGCAAAAUAAACUGAAAGCAAAACAAACUGAAACGAG